rnacentral:lncRNA from 1 species
GAGGAGGCAGCCACUUAUCGGCUUUCAGCACACUGAAGACAGUUUGGAGUGUUUACCAAGAUCUGGACUUUGGGUACACGAAACUCACAGCAUUCAACCACUCAUCACUUCUGUUUGAGUACAUGAAGAGCAGUGAUGGCAAGGUCUAUGAUUCCUUCACAAUCUCAAGAGAUUACAGAGAUGUUUUGGCCUGUGUUCAUGAUGGCUGUGAACCAACCACUUUGGCUACGUAAUCAAAGUUUCAUCUAAUCAAGCCGACUUAUUAGCUUGGAAAAGAGAUUAUCCAUUUAAUUAGUGAAGCUAUUCAGUUGUG